UACGUAGGGUGCAAGCGUUAAUCGGAAUUACUGGGCGUAAAGCGUGCGCAGGCGGUUCUAUAAGACAGAUGUGAAAUCCCCGGGCUCAACCUGGGAACUGCAUUUGUGACUGUAGAGCUGGAGUACGGCAGAGGGGGAUGGAAUUCCGCGUGUAGCAGUGAAAUGCGUAGAGAUGUGGAGGAACACCGAUGGCGAAGGCAGCCCCCUGGGUCAAUACUGACGCUCAUGCACGAAAGCGUGGGGAGCAAACAGG
rnacentral:rRNA from 1 species